CCUACGGGAGGCUGCAGUGAGGAAUAUUGGUCAAUGGGCUUACGCCUGAACCAGCCAAGUCGCGUGAGGGAAGACUGCCCUAUGGGUUGUAAACCUCUUUUGUCAGGGAGCAAUUGGCGCUACGUGUAGCGUUAUCGAGAGUACCUGAAGAAAAAGCAUCGGCUAACUCCGUGCCAGCAGCCGCGGUAAUAGGGAGGAUGCGAGAGUUAUCCGGAUUUAUUGGGUUUAAAGGGUGCGUAGGCGGAAUGCCAAGUCAGCGGGAAAAUCGCGGGGCUCAACCUCGCUCCGCCGUUGAAACUGGCGUUCUUGAGUGGGCGAGAAGUAUGCGGAAUGCGUGGUGUAGCGGUGAAAUGCAUAGAUAUCACGCAGAACUCCGAUUGCGAAGGCAGCAUACCGGCGCCCAACUGACGCUGAAGCACGAAAGCGUGGGUAUCGAACAGGAUUAGAUACCCCUGUAGUC
rnacentral:rRNA from 1 species